rnacentral:lncRNA from 1 species
UUGAGUAGGAGUCCUAUUAGGAGUUGGUUAGAAGUAAGAGUCUUAAGUAGGAGUCCUAUUAGGAGUUGGUUAGAAGUAAGAGUCUUAAGUAGGAGUCCUAUUAUGAGUUAGGGUUUAGAAGCCCUAUAAAUAGCCAUGUAUUCCUCCUCUUUUCUGCAGCCUUUGAGUAGCAACUUGGAGGGAGGAACCCCUAUAGAGUUCCAAGGAGGCUGAUCCCCUAAAGAGAUCAAUCCCAAGUUUAGAAUCUACAAGGGUUCUAACAC